CUUACCACGCUGCAUUUUGGUCCGACUCUCCUUUGACGGAAGAAAACCGUAACAAAUAGGCUAAUUCCAUGGUCUUUUUACAAGUUGAAUGUGAUGUAGAUAUAAUAAACUGUAUAUACACUAUUCAAAGAUGUCUGUCCACGACACUACUAUCCAGGAAGUACAGCCUCUUCUACUUGGCUGUUGUGCCGUUCACCCUUCUCUCUUCCUGUAUGAAUUUCUGCUUCUCUGUGAAGCCAAAUACCAAUACUCCAGGUUUAAGGUGUUAUAUAACCUUUCAAUUAUUUAGUGGAUGGUGUGAACAAUCAUAAUCCAUUACACACAAAUUAAAACACUCAGCUAGAUUGUUGGUGUUCAGACAGAGGAGAAGUUGUAGCGGUGUUUGGCUGAUUGAUAUUGGUCCUCAACAUCCUCUAUUGAUCGUUGUGUGAUACAAACGUUACUUUCAUGUAAAUCAAUCUAAAUGAUUGACUGUGUUUAAUCCCUGUCUGUCUCAUUGUUCAGGUACCAGUAAUGCUGUUAAGUUGCCCAUCAGUCGCAUCAUGCUCUUUGUGACACUGACCAUCAUGGCUGCCAUCGUCACUAUUCACACAAGGAGGAUCCGCCCACCCAAGGCUCUGCCCCCACAAGCAGACGAAGCCUCUGGUAUUGAGAUUCAUGUCCUGGAGGAAUGACCCCUUGUUCCUCACUCUUCUCCCUGUGCUGGACUAAGACUUUCAAACUGUCUGUAGCUUUAUUGAUUCAGUAACAGAGGACAUUAUACAUGUUUUUAAAGCUGAUGUUCAUCUAUUUUAGUGCAUAGUGUGGAAGAUGUAUUAAUUUGUAGUUGUGUUCUCUUAUUUUAGUAUCUUUUUAAAAACCUUUAUGUAGUAUGGAUUCAAAUAUCAGCAAACCUUCGUUGAUGUUUUACAUUUUUGCUGUCCAUUGUGAAUGACGUCAGCAUGGAGAAAUUCCUUGGUUUUGUUUCAUUAAUAAGUUGUGUCCUAAGCAGACUUAAAAUGAGCACAAUUCUUCUUCUAAAAUUUAUAUUAAUUACUAAAACUGUUUUUAAAUAAACUAAUAAAAAUACA